CUACGGGGGGCUGCAGUGGGGAAUAUUGGACAAUGGGGGAAACCCUGAUCCAGCAAUGCCGCGUGUGUGAAGAAGGCCUGCGGGUUGUAAAGCACUUUCGGUUGGGAGGACUGCUUCUAGCACUAAUAUUGUUGGAAGUUGACGUUACCUUCAGAAGAAGCACCGGCUAACUCCGUGCCAGCAGCCGCGGUAAUACGGAGGGUGCAAGCGUUGAAUCGGAAUUACUGGGCGUAAAGUGCGCGUAGGCGGCUAGAGCAGUCGGGUGUGAAAGCCCCGGGCUUAACCUGGGAACUGCAUCCGAUACUGUCUAGCUUGAGUACAGGAGAGGAGAGUGGAAUUCCACAUGUAGCGGUGAAAUGCGUAGAUAUGUGGAGGAACACCAAUGGCGAAGGCAGCUCUCUGGCCUGAUACUGACGCUGAGGUGCGAAAGCGUGGGGAGCAAACAGGAUUAGAUACCCCUGUAGUC
rnacentral:rRNA from 1 species